UUACCACCUUGACAUGAAAGAGAUUCCUUCGGGCACAGGUGCUGCAUGGCUGUCGUCAGCUCGUGUUGUGAAAUGUUGGGUUAAGUCCCGCAACGAGCGCGACCCUAUCUUUGUUGCCAGCGCGCGGGACUCAAAGAGACUGCCAGUGAUAACUGGAGGAAGGUGGGGAUGACGUCAAGUCAUCAUGGCCCUUACGGUGGGCUACACACGUGCUACAAUGGUAUACAAGAGGCAUCGCGAGACAAGCGACCUCAAAAUAGUCGUAGUCCGGAUUGGAGUCUGCAACUCGACUCCAUGAAGUCGGAAUCGCUAGUAAUCGUAAUCAGAUGUACGGUGAAUACGUUCCCGGGCCUUGUACACACCGCCCGUCACACCAUGGGAGUGGGUGAAAGAA
rnacentral:rRNA from 1 species